AACUUUCAGCAACGGAUCUCUUGGCUCUCGCAUCGAUGAAGAACGCAGCCGAAUUGCGAUAAGUAAUGUGAAUUGCAGAUUUCCAGUGAAUCAUCGAAUCUUUGAACGCACCUUGCGCUCCUUGGUAUUCCGAGGAGCAUGCCUGUUUGAGUGUCAUUU
rnacentral:rRNA from 1 species